rnacentral:rRNA from 1 species
AGAGUUUGAUCAUGGCUCAGGACGAACGCUGGCGGCGUGCCUAAUACAUGCAAGUCGAGCGAAUCAAUGGGAGCUUGCUCCCUGAGAUUAGCGGCGGACGGGUGAGUAACACGUGGGUAACCUGCCUGUAAGACUGGGAUAACUUCGGGAAACCGGAGCUAAUACCGGAUAAUUUCUUUUCUCGCAUGAGAAGAGAUGGAAAGAUGGUUUCGGCUAUCACUUACAGAUGGACCCGCGGCGCAUUAGCUAGUUGGUGAGGUAACGGCUCACCAAGGCCACGAUGCGUAGCCGACCUGAGAGGGUGAUCGGCCACACUGGGACUGAGACACGGCCCAGACUCCUACGGGAGGCAGCAGUAGGGAAUCUUCCGCAAUGGACGAAAGUCUGACGGAGCAACGCCGCGUGAGCGAAGAAGGCCUUCGGGUCGUAAAGCUCUGUUGUUAGGGAAGAACAAGUACGAGAGUAACUGCUCGUACCUUGACGGUACCUAACCAGAAAGCCACGGCUAACUACGUGCCAGCAGCCGCGGUA